UUUUUUUUUGGUAUGGCGCUCUUUUUUCCCCCGAAAAUUCUAAUCUCGCGCUCUCGCUCCAGACCCAAACCCUAAAAUUCCAAUAUCCACUCUCGCGCUGCCUCUCUCUCGCACUCUAGCUCCCUCUGUCUAUCUUUGGUUCUAUCCGGCCUCUCUUCCUCUUUCGCUAGGAGAUUAGCCAGCAAUCUCAACACCUCCUGUCAUCAUCUGUCUGUCUCUCUCCGUGUCUCUGUCUUUGGUUCCAUCUCUUCUAACCCAAACCUGCGCUUUCUCUCUCUCAUCUACAAACUCUCCAAAUCUCACAAAUAUCUCUGAGUCCAACACCAAAAUAGCAAGGUUGUGUAUGCACCCUAUCUUUCAUCUGUCAACGAGCAUGACUUGGAGAAGGAACACUGCAAGUGAAAUGUUGAAGUCUGGAUCACGUUCAUGAAUGCUAUAUACAUGUUUUCUUUUUUGUUAUCUCAGUUUGGUGUAAAUGUUUAAUAUAUUUUUAGCUUUUUUUGGGAAUGUUAUUGAUCUUUUUGGGCAUGUAUAAUAUAAUGUGUUGUUUGGAGACCACUAGACCAAAAAACGUAUUGUUUUGAGAUAUUUUAUUUUAAGAUUUUAAAAAUCAUUAAAAAAA